rnacentral:rRNA from 1 species
GACGAACGCUGGCGGCGUGCCUAAUACAUGCAAGUAGAACGCAGUUGCGAACGGGUGAGUAACGCGUAGGGAACUGCCUCAUAGCGGGGGAUAACUAUUGGAAACGAUAGCUAAUACCGCAUACUGUGAGAUGGACCGGCGUUGCAUUAGGUAGUUGGUGAGGUAAAGGCUCACCAAGGCGACGAUACAUAGCCGCCCUGAGAGGGGGAUCUGCCACACUGGGACUUGUAACCGGCCCAGACUCCUACGGGAGGCAGCGAUAGGGAAUCUUCGACAAUUGAGCGAAGUCUUACCGAGCAACGCCGCGUGAGUGAAGAAGGUUUUCGGGUCGUAAAGCUCUGUUGUUUGAGAAGCGGUACCUAACCAGAAAGGGACGGCUAACUCCGUGCCAGCAGCCGCGGUAAUUC